UAGUCCUACGGGGCGCAGCAGUAGGGAAUAUUGCUCAAUGGGGGAAACCCUGAAGCAGCAACGCCGCGUGGAGGAUGAAGGUUUUAGGAUUGUAAACUCCUUUUGUAAGAGAAGAUUAUGACGGUAUCUUACGAAUAAGCACCGGCUAACUCCGUGCCAGCAGCCGCGGUAAUACGGAGGGUGCAAGCGUUACUCGGAAUUACUGGGCGUAAAGGGUGCGCAGGCGGUUGAGUAAGA
rnacentral:rRNA from 1 species